UACAAUUUAUAUGAUCAUCAUUUGACGUUUAACAUCAGUAUUAGUUAGAAGGUCUGACAAUAACGUUACAACAUGGCAAGAAUAAUGCUUCUUUUGAUUCUAGUAUUAGUCUGUGUUCAACAAGUAUCGAGCGGAAUAGCUGUUGAGAAGAGAAAUGCAGAUAAAGACUGUUCCCAGGGCAUCAUAGACGAUUGUUCUUAUAAGGGAUGCAGUUAUAUACCUAAUGGAAUAGACUCAUGUGUUUGUUACUGUCCGGGUGUUGAUGAUGGACAAGAAAGAAAGAAGUGAACAUUUUGUCAUAUAUGCGGACUGUCUUGAAUGCUCUUACCUAAGACAUUGGAUGUCAAGUGCACGUAAUGGAUGCAUAGAAUUUAUUAAAAAGUUUUAAUUUCA